CCUCCUCCCCUCUGGGUGAAGUGUACGAUCCCGCGCAAUCUCUUUGGAGCUACCAUGGACCGGGAGCUAUUGUCUGAUUCUGCGAAAGAAUAUGACAGGAUGAAAGUCAAUAUCGAAAAACUUACUGAACAAUCUACUCAGUUGGCCAUGUAUCAGAAAAAAAUGGUGGAACACAAUGCAGUACUUAAAAAUCUCAGCCACAAUUUCAAUCAGGUACAGUUGAGACUGGAACGUGUAGCAGCUGUGAAGCCUGGUAUCACAGGACUGAACCAGUAGUUUGUGGGAAAAAUAUUCCUUCAGUGCAAUGAAAACCAACAUUUCCAAUCUAUUCAAGAUUGUAUUAUUGAGAUUUUGAGUAUAGUUCUGUUUAUUUAAUGAGUGAACUUUUUUUCCCAAUUUGUGUUACUCAAUUGUGGGUUAUUUUUCUCCAUGAAAUAAAGAUGUGAAUGUGU